rnacentral:tRNA from 1 species
GGUCCCGUCUCGGCGGGAGAGCACCGGCCUUCUAAGCCGAUGGUCGCAGGUUCGAAUCCUGCCGGGAUCGCCA